rfam:Papio anubis isolate 1X1155 chromosome 4, whole genome shotgun sequence.
GGUCCCAUGGUGCAACGGUUAGCACUCUGGACUUUGAAUCCAGCAAUCCGAGUUUGAAUCUCAGUGAGACCU